CUUGCUGGCAAAGCUGCUCUGCCUUCCUGACUCUUGUGUGUUUGCCCCGGUGUUUAGUGGAAUCCAGGCUAAAGGACAGAGCAGACCAAGUCCACCGGGAAGCCGUGACCACCUCCGCGCUGUGUUCUCUGAGCGCCAGGGACUGUGCCAAGGCCUUUGGAAAAUACCUGCAUCCCCACGAGAGGACAGAUGUCAUCCUCGUGGCCAUCGAGGCAGUGGGCGAUGCCAGCAUCCUCGACCAGCAGGUGCCCAGCAGCCUGCUGGAUGUGGCCUUGGAGGACCCGGACGUCUGGCUGACGGACGCGCCCAAGAUAGUCAGCAGCAUCCUUGAGAGCCUGCCAUACUGCAGCACACAGGCAGCGUGGGAGAAAGCGGAGUCACUGCUUCGCCUGAUGACCAACCUGUACCCCACCGCAGUGGUCAUCCUCCUGUGUAAGGCGGCUCUUCAGGGAGACAGGUACUGGCCCUGAUGGCC